rnacentral:lncRNA from 1 species
UCUGAAGUUGUAUGAAUGUGAUCAAGCGGAUAUGGAUUUGGUCAAGCUGAAGAGGAACAUGGUUUCUUGCUACUUAUCUUUGAAACAACUUGAUAAGGCUAAAGAGGCCUUGGCAGAAGCUGAGCAACAGGAUCCUACAAACAUUUUCACUCAGUAUUAUAUAUUCAAGAUUGCAAUCUUGGAUGGUGAAGCCUACAGAGCUUUACAGAUAGUCAGUGCUUUAAAAAUUUCAAUGGAGGAAGACUCAGAAGAUUGUGGACUAAUUGAAAAUGGAGUUUCAACUCUCAGAAUCCUAAGUUUAUGUGUAGAGUUUGCUCUAGAGAAUGAACAACAAUUUGUGGCACAAAAAGCUUUGGAAUAUUUAAUUCAACUUUCAAAAGACCCAAGAGAAGUACUUGAAGCUUUAAAGUGUCUCGUUCGAAUUAUUCUUCCACAAGCUUUUUACUUGCCAGAAUCUGAAAUUAAAAAGAAAGAAAUGAAUAGACUUUUGAGUUACUUGGAUACAGCACUCCUGAAAUUUUCUCAACAUUUUGAUGACACUUCCUCAACUUUGGAUCCUAUGGUUAAUGAUGCCAAUUGGUUCAGGAAAAUAGCUUGGAACUUAGCUCUGCAAUCUGAGAAGGAUCUAGAGAAAAUGAAAAACUUUUUCAUGAUUUCUUAUGAGCUGUCCCUUUUUUGUCCUUCGGAUCAAGGACUACUGAUUGCACAGAAAACAUGUUUACUUGUAGCAGCUGCAGUUGAUCUAGAGCAAGGAAGAAAAGCUACAACAACUUAUGAACAGGUAA